GUUAUUGGAUAUUUUGCAGUAGUAGAUGCUAAAACUUUUUGAUGUGCAAGUAAUACAGUCAGAGCAAGUAGUACAGGCACGUGUCGAUUAGUCAUUAUUCAUUCCAGGUAUUUGAAAUUCCGUAGGUUCGUCAUUAGAAAAUUCCAACAAUACAUCUUUAUCUAGGUAGUUAGCUUAUCACGUUCCUUUUGGCUUUGUUCAAUAAUUGUUACAAUCACUAACCACAUUUUUUGAAAUAUUGAUUACAAAACCUUUUUCGAUAAUAUGCUGUUUAACUAGUUGUUAUCCGUGCAAAUACAUUCUUCACUAACGAUAAUGGCAUUGGUUUUACUAUAUAAGCUCAAAAUAAAUAAUUUCUGUCAUAUUUACUACCUCGUUUCUACUGAAGAGUACUGAGAGAGUACAGUUUGACUUUAAAUCUAUAUUGUGUUCAUACAAGUGUUUAUUAGCAGUGUGUGAUUAAGAAGUGUCGUGUGAUAAACAAUGGAGAAUAUAUCGUACUCCCCUUGCAAUAGUCAAGAAAACAAUACAUAUAAGCAAUAUUACUUUCCUGCGAAUUUGGUAGAAGAAGAAACACAAAAUUUGCUCAUAGAUCAUGAAAUGCCAUCAAAGAAAAUGAAAAGGAAAUCUGAAAAUAUAGACAUUUUUUUCGAGUCAUCCCCAAAAAAUAAAAACAAAACUAGUUCAACAGUGGCUCGAGCUAACAAAGAUGGCAGUAUAUCGUAUAUAUCUACGAACUCCAACGAUGGUGCGACAGCCACACAUCUCAUUAAAUUAGAGGUGUAUGACCUAAAAAAACUAGCCAAAAUACCUCAGUCUCAACACUGGAAACAUGCUAAUGUAAAAAUCAAAUAUUAUACAGAAAAGGCUAAUGGAAAUUUUGCGAACACGAAUGAGAUAAUUUAUAAUAUUACAAAAGAAAUCGCAGAAACAGAGGGUUGUAAAAAAUACUCAUUUAAUAAUUAAUAACUUAAUCUAUCAUUAGUAAACUACCUCACAUAAAUACUUCACCAUAAUUUAAUUUGUGAGAUUAAUUCGACGUAACACUUAUACAAGCAGUAUAAAAACACAUUGUAAAUCCUAUAGUAAUGUCAGUAAGCCACCUGGUGCUGUUAAUGAAUAAGUCUCCCUCUGUAGUCUUAUAAACUGUCAGCAAUGGAAGAUACAAUUGACAGCUGUGUUAGCACAUUUUUCAACACUUCAAUUAAUGAUGAGGAACUCAUUGAGGCUUUAGAUUAUUUUGACUUACUGGAUCCAGCAUAUGACAAUGAAUUGUAUAAUAUAUGUGAAGCAAUUGAUUCAAUCAUCCCAACUAAACAAAAACUUCAAAUUGGUGGAGCUUUAAAGCGGUCCAAUGAUUUCACCGUGAACAACUCUGCGAAAAAAGUGAAAUAUAAUGAGGGAGCCUCAACUUCAUCUAUUCAACACUCAGAAAAUAACUCCACUACACCAUCUGCAUAUUCAGAAGGUAAUAAAGUGAAGUGUGAUAUUUGCAAUAUUUUUAUAACCAAAAGGUAUUUUUCUAAUCAUUUAAAAAGUAAUUUACAUAAAAAUAAUCAUUUAAAGUCGCACCCAUCAUUAUCGAAUGUUUCUGUAA